rnacentral:rRNA from 1 species
CCUACGGGGGGCAGCAGUGAGGAAUAUUGGUCAAUGGACGAGAGUCUGAACCAGCCAAGUAGCGUGAAGGAUGACUGCCCUAUGGGUUGUAAACUUCUUUUAUAUGGGAAUAAAAUGUUCCACGUGUGGGUUUUUGUAUGUACCAUAUGAAUAAGGAUCGGCUAACUCCGUGCCAGCAGCCGCGGUAAUACGGAGGAUCCGAGCGUUAUCCGGAUUCAUUGGGUUUAAAGGGAGCGUAGGUGGAUUGUUAAGUCAGUUGUGAAAGUUUGCGGCUCAACCGUAAGAUUGCAGUUGAGACUGGCAGUCUUGAGUACAGUAGAGGUGGGCGGAAUUCGUGGUGUAGCGGUGAAAUGCUUAGAUAUCACGAAGAACUCCGAUUGCGAAGGCAGCUAACUGGACUGCAACUGACACUGAGGCUCGAAAGUGUGGGUAUCAAACAGGAUUAGAUACCCGUGUAGUC